UACGUAGGGGGCUAGCGUUGUCCGGAAUCAUUGGGCGUAAAGAGCGUGUAGGCGGUCCGGUAAGUCCGCUGUGAAAGUCGGGGGCUCAACCCUCGAAUGCCGGUGGAUACUGUCGGGCUAGAGUGCGGAAGAGGCGAGUGGAAGUUCCUGGUGUAGCGGUGAAAUGACGCAGAGUAUCAGGAGGAACACCUAUUGCGAAGGCAGCUCGCUGGGACGUAACUGACGCUGAGACGCGAAAGCGUGGGGAGCAAACAGG
rnacentral:rRNA from 1 species